GAUCGUAUGAAAGGGGUUUUGUGACGGUGCCUCGUAUGCUCCCCGUGCUGGGGUGCUGCGAUUAUGUUCUUAAGAAAAUCACCUUAGCACAAUAAACGCGUAUUAAGUGCUUACUGACGGAAAGGGACAUCCCCACGGCUUUUAUCUGCAAGAAAGUUAGACCACCAUUUUCACAGGCUGGAUGUUGAUCUGAAUUCCAUACCAAAAGAGCGUGACUUUGACAAGCCAACGCAACAGCGCAACAGCGACUCCAGACUGAGAUCUCAGUGUCUUACGGUAAUCCCUGGCCUCCUUCCCGAGCCUCCAAGGGACGCUCAGGGGUCCUGCGGGCAGAGGCAGCCGUGACCCGAAGCAGGAGGAAAUGCCUGUGUAACCCGGGGGAGGUACAGCCAGGGAUUCCGAGUCCGCCCCGGCUUCCCAAGCAGCCGCUCUCUCCCUCCACCCCGCAGCCAGGGGCAAACUCCAAGAAACUUUACACACAAAAGAGCAAUUUACUUAGCCAGUCAUUUUCUAGAUUUGCUCAGCAAUUAUUUCGGCUCUUUGUGUUUAAGUGAGUGUUUUUUCUGUCCCUGUCCAGUGUCUUUCUGCUUCAUCAGAUAGGGAAGCCUCGGCAGCAUUUUCCCUCCAGAGAGCUGAGCCCUCACGGCCACAGAGGCUGGGGGACGAGGCGGGCGGAGCAGGGGCAGUGGCUUAGCGAAGCCAGAGUUGCAGGUCCAGAGGGUUGCUGAGGCUCUCGGGCGGUGACUACAAAAUGUGGACCAAGCAGCAGAAUCACCUGGAUGGCAUGCACCCUACUUCCCAUGUGAUGACGUCACUGAGCAAAGCUGCGAACACAAGUGGCCCCUCAGCGCCUGUGAGCUGGGAAGGGAAGAGAAGCUUGGAGAACUAUUACACUUGGCCUCCAUCUCGUAUUGAUCACGGAGCCAGGAUCUGACCCUAAAUCUUGCUGAUUCCAGAGACCUUAUUAAGAAUACACACGUCAAGGUUUGCACCAAGGUUUGGUUUCCUUCUUUUCCUCAUCGCUUUGUGGGAGGAUUGAGUCACAUUACAUCCACAAAACACCUGACCCACAUCCAGCUGCUGGUAUGCUCAUGCAAGAUGGUGGGUCCCGUCCUUCCUACGAUGAUGGGCUUGUGACAUGUUCAAGAUCUCCACAUUCCCUGAAGAGACGCCCGUAAGUGAGUCUUCUCUUCAAAGUAUUCCCAAAGCAGAGGCCUCUUUAGCCGCAAAACAAAGUAAGGCCACGUGUUAUACACAGAGUUUUUAUCAUUACUCAUAUGCCCCUUAGUCCUCUGACCCCCCGUCUAUGGCUAAAAUAAAUGGAGAAACAUUAACUUGGCUCCCAGCUGAUAAGAUGUUGUUUUCCUUCUCAUUGACCUCCUCAAGAUAACAGUUUUGAACUUUGAUAAGGCGUUUCU